GGAGAGAUGGUCGAGUUGGUCGAAGGCGCCCGCCUGGAAAGUGGGUAUACAUACCAAUGUAUCGUGGGUUCAAAUCCCACUCUCUCCGCCA
rnacentral:tRNA from 1 species